rnacentral:rRNA from 1 species
UACGGGGGGGGCAAGCGUUGUUCGGAAUUACUGGGCGUAAAGGGCUCGUAGGCGGCCAACUAAGUCGGACGUGAAAUCCCCAGGCUCAACCUGGGAACUGCGUCCGAUACUGGAUGGCUUGAGUCCGGGAGAGGGAUGCAGAAUUCCAGGUGUAGCGGUGAAAUGCGUAGAUAUCUGGAGGAAUACCGGUGGCGAAGGCGGCAUCCUGGACCGGCAUUGACGCUGAGGAGCGAAAGCCAGGGGAGCAAACGGG